AUGGCUGGCAAGCAGGCCAUUUCAGCAUCAGGCAAGUGGCUGGAUCGUAUUCAAAAAUGGUAUUACAAUGCCGCAGGAUUCAAUAAACUGAGGUUAAUGCGAGAUGAUACAAUAUAUGAGGAUGAAGACGUAAAACAAGCCAUAAGAAGGCUUCCUGAGAACCUUUAUAAUGACAGGAUGUUUCACAUUAAGAGGGCACUGGACCUGACCAUGAAGCAUCAGAUCUUGCCUAAAGAGCAGUAGACCAAAUAUGAAGAGGAAAAUUUCUACCUUGAACUGUAUCUGAAAGAGGUUAUUUGGGAAAGAAAAGAAAGAAGAAUGGGCAAAGAAGUAA